GACGUAGGGGGCGAGCGUUGUCCGGAUUUAUUGGGCGUAAAGCGCGCGUAGGCGGUUCGGUAAGUCGGGUGUGAAAAUCCGGGGCUCAACCCCGGACCUGCAUUCGAUACUGCCGGGCUGGAGGCAGGUAGGGGGAGAAUGGAAUUCCUGGUGUAGCGGUGAAAUGCGCAGAUAUCAGGAGGAACACCAAUGGCGAAGGCAGCUCGCUGGGACGUGACUGACGCUGAGACGCGAAGCGUGGGAGCAAACAGG
rnacentral:rRNA from 1 species